UGUUAAAACGUGGAGCUUAAACUCCAUCAAGGCAGUGGGAAACUGUUGGGCUUGAGUGUGGUAGGGGCAGAGGGAAUUCCCGGUGUAGCGGUGAAAUGCGUAGAUAUCGGGAAGAACACCAGUGGCGAAGGCGCUCUGCUGGGCCAUAACUGACGCUCAUGGACGAAAGCCAGGGGAGCGAAAGGGAUUAGAUACCCCUGUAGUCCUGGCCGUAAACGAUGAACACUAGGUGUCGGGGGAAUCGACCCCCUCGGUGUCGUAGCCAACGCGUUAAGUGUUCCGCCUGGGGAGUACGCACGCAAGUGUGAAACUCAAAGGAAUUGACGGGGGCCCGCACAAGCGGUGGAGUAUGUGGUUUAAUUCGAUGCAACGCGAAGAACCUUACCAGGGUUUGACAUCCUGCGAACCUCUAAGAAAUUGGAGGGUGCCUUCGGGAACGCAGUGACAGGUGGUGCAUGGCUGUCGUCAGCUCGUGUCGUGAGAUGUUGGGUUAAGUCCCGCAACGAGCGCAACCCACGUUUUUAGUUGCCAGCAUUCAGUUGGGCACUCUAGAGAGACCGCCGGUGAUAAACCGGAGGAAGGUGUGGAUGACGUCAAGUCAUCAUGCCCCUUACAUCCUGGGCUACACACGUACUACAAUGCUACGGACAAAGGGCAGCAAACUCGCGAGAGCUAGCAAAUCCCAUAAACCGUGGCUCAGUUCAGAUCGUAGGCUGCAACUCGCCUACGUGAAGGAGGAAUCGCUAGUAAUCGCAGGUCAGCAUACUGCGGUGAAUACGUUCCCGGGCCUUGUACACACCGCCCGUCACACCAUGGAAGUUGGCCACGCCCGAAGUCGUUACUCCAACCCUUGUGGAGGAGGACGCCGAAGGUGGGGCUGAUGAUUUUGUGAAGUCGUAACAAGGUAACC
rnacentral:rRNA from 3 species